rnacentral:rRNA from 1 species
CCUACGGGUGGCAGCAGUGAGGAAUAUUGGUCAAUGGACGAGAGUCUGAACCAGCCAAGUAGCGUGAAGGAUGACUGCCCUCUGGGUUGUAAACUUCUUUUAUAAAGGAAUAAAACGCGGCACGUGUGCCUUUUUGCAUGUACUUUAUGAAUAAGGAUCGGCUAACUCCGUGCCAGCCGCCGCGGUAAUACGGAGGAUCCGAGCGUUAUCCGGAUUUAUUGGGUUUAAAGGGAGCGUAGAUGGGUUGUUAAGUCAGUUGUGAAAGUUUGCGGCUCAACCGUAAAAUUGCAUUUGAUACUGGCAAGCUUGAGUACAGUUGAGGGAGGCGGAAUUCGUGGUGUAGCGGUGAAAUGCUUAGAGAUCACGAAGAACCCCGAUUGCGAAGGCAGCUUACUAAACUGUGACUGACAUUGAUGCUCGAAAGUGUGGGUAUCAAACAGGAUUAGAUACCCCAGUAGUC